GACGAACGCUGGCGGCGUGCUUAACACAUGCAAGUCGAACGGAAAGGCCCUGCUUUUGUGGGGUGCUCGAGUGGCGAACGGGUGAGUAACACGUGAGUAACCUGCCCUUGACUUUGGGAUAACGUCAGGAAACUGGGGCUAAUACCGGAUAGGAGCUCCUGCUGCAUGGUGGGGGUUGGAAAGUUUCGGCGGUUGGGGAUGGACUCGCGGCUUAUCAGCUUGUUGGUGGGGUAGUGGCUUACCAAGGCUUUGACGGGUAGCCGGCCUGAGAGGGUGACCGGCCACAUUGGGACUGAGAUGCGGCCCAGACUCCUACGGGAGGCAGCAGUGGGGAAUAUUGCACAAUGGGCGGAAGCCUGAUGCAGCAACGCCGCGUGCGGGAUGACGGCCUUCGGGUUGUAAACCGCUUUCGCCUGUGACGAAGCGUGAGUGACGGUAAUGGGUAAAGAAGCACCGGCUAACUACGUG
rnacentral:rRNA from 1 species